rnacentral:rRNA from 1 species
ACGUAGGUGGCGAGCGUUAUCCGGAUUUACUGGGCGUAAAGCGUGUGCAGGCGGAUGGCCAAGUGGUGUAUGAAAGCUCCAGGCUUAACCUGGAGAGGUUAUGCCAGACUGGCUGUCUUGAGGCGGAGAGAGGGCCAUGGAAUUCCGGGUGUAGUGGUGAAAUGCGUAGAGAUCCGGAGGAACUCCAGAGGCGAAGGCGACACCCUGGGCCGUACCUGACGCUAAGACGCGACAGCACGGGGAGCGAACGG